rnacentral:lncRNA from 1 species
CCUUUCUCGCUUCAUCCGCGGUCCCUGUCUGUUUUCGUUAUGGCGCCUUGUACUUCUACCCAACGUUGCCCGCCCCCCAUCUUCCCAGCCCACCAGCUCCGUCCGCCUCUCCGGAUGAUUCGUGAGAUACCGAGCCUGCCGGGAAGGGACCGGAUUUUUCCGUCUGGUCCAAGGAAGCACGGGUUAUGGCCACAUGCGCAGUGAUAACUCAGGGCCCCACGCCUUUUGACCCCUGUUGAUGAAGAUUGUGAGGAGGGAGACCAGAAGAUAAUGGACAACGAUACAGCAGAAGGGUCUGGUUACACUUGAGCUUAUUUCUUGGAAGAGUCUGAGAAGACGGCCUGUCAGGCUCCUAACACUAAGGGCCAUGUAACCAGUGAAGCAGCCAUUAUAUAUGAUUUGGUCUACACUUGUUGGGUAAGCUUAAGGAUUGUUAACCCUUUUCCUAAGUAGUAUAGCAGAAAUUCAGGUUUGCAUAGUGGCUAGCCAUCUAUAAGCCACCUCCAUAAUUUAUGUCUGAACUAGUUAGCUGUUCACAUCUGGGGCAAAGAUGUGUGCCAUGUUGGCUGGUAUUUGUCAAUUGAACAUUGCAUGAGUACAGACACUGGUCCAUGAUGAAACCCAUUAUCAGUGGACAUCUAUGGAUGAGAAAUGCGGAUAUGGGACUGAGACCAGUUCUUAGGAAAGCCUGAGUUGGGGAAUGAGCCUGAAGGUGGAACUAACAUAGACUUGCACUUCCUUUUCAGAAAAAUUCCACAAGAGGAUCUCCUGGAAGCUAGCAGAAGUUUUUGGCUUGUACAUUGCCAGGCAGCCAUUGGAAUCGGAGCUGCAGUCAGAUUAAGGCCAGCCUGGCCUACAUUGAGAAACCUCAUUUUGGGAAAGUGAAAUACUUUGUCAAUUAACAUGCAGUUGGUUCAAUAAAGACUUUUGGAAAGUGUC